rnacentral:lncRNA from 1 species
GAAAUCAGACUUUUUCAAUUUCACUCCGUUUUGCCUCGUUUUCGCUCGUUAGGCCUCCGAUUCAUCUCUAAUCAUCCCGAGACCCACGAAACACAUUUUGAGCGCGUUUAGGCCAUCUUUCCUUCUACACUUUGCCGGAUUUAGGCCAAAGUUCAAUCAUUACUUUUCGAGUUCGGUUUUCACACCCGACGCGUACCGAAAACACUCGAAUGCCCCCAAACUUCACCGAAACUGCUCUAACAACUUUUCGAGCAAGUUCCGACCGAAACUUCAUAACCGUAGGAGCUCAGUAUAUCACACCCUCAAACCCAAUACUAACUCUAGCUUUCCUAUUUCUCCAAAUAUCCCAAAAUUACACGGAGAAACAAGCAUAGAAUAACCUAGGGAUCCU